UUUUUUUUUUUUUGAGGGGGGCAGUGGGAGAUCAUAGUGAAAAUUACAUUGCACAAAUGAGAGUAGAGAUUAAAUAUCAACUGCUAAGGGUUUUUGUUUGGGGAUAUUUUAGAAGGCCUUGUCCUUAUUCGUUCACAUGGGGAAAUCAUGGCGAGCCUCAAUUCUCUGCCUAAGUGGCACAUCAUAACGCCCUUUCUAUAUGUCCCAAUGAGACUGAUCCUUUACUCCUCAUUGACAACCCCCAUAUGGUACAAGUGUCCAUACUCUUGUCACUGCUCUCCACUUGUAGGCUACAUGCCCUCACAGACAAUGAGCUUCUUAAAGACAGUAUCAUAUGUUAUCUAGCAUACAAGCUGUAGCCAAUAAAUGUGGUUAAAUAGAUAAACAAAUGAAAAGCAUAAGCAGGUUCAAAUUACAUCUCUGAAUCUCUGAUCUAAAUACUUUUUUUGGGAUCCCUGGGUGGGCGGUUUGGCGCCUGCCUUUGGCCCAGGGCGCGAUCCUGGAGCCCCGGGAUCGAAUCCCACAUCGGGCUCCCGGUGCAUGGAGCCUGCUUCUCCCUCUGCCUCUGUCUCUGCCUCUCUCUCUCUCUCUCUGUGUGACUAUCAUAAAUAAAUAAAAAAUUAAAAAAAAUAAAUAAAUACUUUUUUUUGUUUUUUUAACUCACAACCCUGAGACCAUGACCUGAGCUGGGAUUGAGUCAGAUACUUAACUGAUUGAGCCAUCCAGGCACCCCUAUCUAAAUACUCUUUUAACACAAUAUGCCUUGGUACACUAAUCUAGAUAGUAGAUGUGAUAAUCUCUUUACUGACCUCACAGGAUUAUUGAGAUGAUUAAACGAAACAAUAGAUACAAAAAGGUUAGUAAAGGUAAAAUGCCAUACAAAGAGUUAUUGUUAAGGAAUAUCAUAUGCCACUUAACUUUGGAUAACCCCCAAUCAGUUCAGGAACUGUUAUUUAUUUUAAAAAUAUCAUCCAAUAUAAGUUUGAUAAUAAAAGAGUCUAAAUAGGAAAAGAGCUGAAAGAAGUCAUUCAAAACUGUAAAUAGUUUUAGCUGAGAAAAGAAACAAGUAUUGGCAUCUGUGGCAUAUUAUAUAGUAUAGAAGGAGACAUGAAUAAGAUUCAUGAUGGAAUUACUGGAUCAUAUGGAAUUUCUAUUUUUUAAUUUUUUGAGGAACCUCCAUACUGUUUUCCCCAGUGCAUGCACCAGUUUACAUUCUCACCAACAGUGCAUGAGGGUUCCCUUUUCUCCACAUCCUUACCAACACUUGUUAUUUCUUGUCUUUUUGAUAUUAGCCAAUCUGACUGCUAUGAGAUCUUGCCAUUUGUGACAAUGAAAAUGGACCUAGAGGGUACUAUGCUAAGUAAAAUAAGUCAGACAGAGAAAGACAAAUCCCAUAUGAUGUCACUUAUACGUGGAACCUAAAAAAACUCCAAAAGAACAAAAAGCGAAAGCAAAUGCAAACAGAUUCUUAAAACACAGAGAACAAAGUGGUAGUCACCAACAGGAAGGUUGGUGGGGGGAUGGGUGAAAUAAGUGAAGGGGAUUAAAAGGUACAAACUUCUAGUUAUAAAUAGAUAAGUCAUGGAGAUGAAAAGUACAGCACAGGGAAUAUAAUCAAUAAUAUUGUAAUACUGUUGUAUGAUGACAGAUGGCAACUACACAUCACGGUGAGCACUGAGUAAUGUAUAGAAUUGCUGAAUGUGUUAUACAUGUGAAACUAAUAUAACUUUGUAUGUCAAUAAUACUUCAAUAAUUAAAAAUUCAUCAUGGUAAAGGAAAGGACAUGAUAGGAUAGAUAAGAUAGGAGAGAAAAAGAGCACAGUAAAGAGUUGGAAAGACACACAGGGCAGGAGGAAACCUUUAUUGUCCACUGAUACUGAUUACUUGGUCAUCUCACUUAAUCAUCAAAACCAUCCUUGUGAAGAUAGCAGUACAACCCAAUUUAUAGUCAGCAAAACCCAGAAAAAUGGAGAAGGAAAAUAAGUUGAAGGAUUGGACUCUCAGUUCCAUGAGGCUCGGAACACAUCCCCUUAAUGCACAUCCCCUAUGCCUGGGGGCCCGGUACAUCACAAUUGCUUAAUAGAUAUUUUUAAAUGAGGGAAUGAAUGCUGUACAGCUGGUAAAUGGCAAGGCCAGAAUUUAAACCACAAGCUGAUUAGCACUAAAGCCUACCAGCUCUCUCUACUAUACUACAAUCAAGUUUAUAUUAGGAGUUUGUAAUUUGUAAAAGCUACAAGACCAGCAAAAUUCAGAAAAUGGUAUAAUUGUCCACAUCUGUGAAAUAGAAUAACUAGCAACCACUGAAUAAAUAUAAAUAAAAACAUUAACACUAUGUCAUAGGUCCUAAAAUUUCCUACAGGAAAGUGUUCUGAUUGACUAUUUAUGAUAGGGCGGGGCACAGGAUGUUAGUGGGUGUUGUUCUAUUUAGUUCUCAUAAGUGCCAGGCUUAAAUGUGACUCAGAGAAGAGCAGUUAUCCCAGAGGAGCUCCAUUCCAAUAACAGAUGGCUAUAUUUAAAAAAUCAGUUUAUUGAUGCAUAAUUUACAUGAAAUAAAAUGAACCUAUUUUAAGUAUACUCAUUAUGUUUUAGCAAAUGUAUAUACUUAUGUAGCCACUACAACAAUCAAGACACAGAACAUUUUCAUCAAUUCCCAAAAGUUGCUUUAUGAUGUUUUUCAGCAAAUUUCCCCAGUCCACGCCCCACCCAAGAAGACCAUCGUCUGAUUGUUGUCAUUAUAGAUUAGUUUUCUUUAUUCUAGAAAUUCAUAUUAGUCAUACAGUAUUCAAUGUUUGGUUUCUAACUUCUUGCACUCAACCAUACUAAUUCUGAGGUGCGUCCAAGUCAUUACAUGUACCAAAACCUUAUAUAUUUUUAUUGCUAUCGUUCCCUUGUAUAGACCUGCAAUAGUUGAUCUAUUCACUUGUUAAUGAAUAUUUUGGUUGUUUCUAGCUUUGGUUAUUGUGCAUAAAGCUGAAUAUUCACAUGCAGGUCUGUGUCUGAAUAUAUGUAUCCAUUUCUUUUAGGUAAACAUCUAGGAGUGGAAUUUCUGGGCCUACAGCGAUAACAUGUUUAACUUUUUAAGAAAUUGGAUGUUUUCCAAAAUGGUGGUACCAUUUUACUAUCCACUAGCAAUGUGUGGGUGUUUUAUUUGCUCUAAAUUGCUGUCAGUACUUAGUAUUCUAAAAAAAAUCAGCCAUUCCAGUAAGCAUUCUCAUUGUGGUUUUAAAUUUUUUUUUUUUAAAUUUUAAUCCCCUGAUGAUGGUAUGCAUCUGCUGUAGGUUGGGUUGUGCCCUCCAAAAAGGUAUCAGAAUCUGUGAAUGUGACCUUAUUUAUUAGUAGGGUCUUUGCAGAUGUAAUCAAGAUAAAGUCAAAAUGAAUUUUAGUGGGCCCUAUAUCCAAUGGCUGGUGUCCUUAGAAGAAGAUCAUGUAGGUAUAUACUGACACACACACACGCACACACACACACACACACACACACACACACACACAGAAGAAUGGAGACAGAAAAAGGAGUAUGUAUCC
rnacentral:lncRNA from 1 species